rnacentral:lncRNA from 1 species
CCAACUAAUCUUCUAGUUUAAAACUGGUAGUUACUUUUAGAACAUUUUUAGUAGUGUGUUCUAAUACCAUGUGUUCGUUAGGCUAAAUGGCAUAAACUUAUUUUUGGAGAGCUUCUUCUAUUAUUGAAGGGCUCCAACCAAUCUUCUAGUUUAAAUAUCUUGUUUUAUAAAAUUCAAUUAUUUUAUAUCUUUUAUGUGAAGUACUCUUUUAGUUUACAACAAUGACGGUUGGAACCCGUUGGUUAUAGUUGCUAGAAUAUCGCCUAUUGGUUUGUUAUGGUCACCUUUAUGUUAACCUUGUAGAACAUAAUGCAACACAAACUAGCAACGGUGUAGUGUAAGUCAAGUCAUUGGCUUAGCGAUAUCAGGUGUAUAUACGGGGCUCCUCAAACAAGUGGUUGAGGGUAAGUCUCACCGAGGACAGAGGUAUAGUUGAAUGGCCAUGCGGAUAAAUGCAUUCAGGACCUCAGUUACCAUCGUCAUUCAGAAGAUCAAUAAGGUCAAAAUGAAGAUUGCUCAUGAAGCAAUUUUGUGAGCCCACCGUUCAAAAGAUGAACAUUUGUCUCGUUCGUGUGAUAUAGAAACAAUAAUCAGAUAGUCUAUCUGAUUGAGAUAGUAACGUGCUUUGUUCAGGCUUACUUUUUUUAACAAACAUAAAAGUUUUUUAAUAUCGGAAAUAAAAAUAAAAACUAAGAUAAGAUGUCCAAAACGCAAUUGAUAUUGUCUUUGCUUACCCCGGUUUGUUGCUGACACAAUUAUCCCAAGAUUAUUUCUAUUCAAAAUACCAUGGAGUGUAGUAAGUCGUUGUCCCCUAAGAAGUGAGCUAGGGUUUUAGUCUUGUGGUGGACGCUGGUGUAAAAUGCAGAAGUAUAUCAUUAGGCUUUACUGCACUUGCGUUCAAAACACAGUGAUAUUUGAGCCGUGGUUUUCUGGAUGUCGAUUUUUUAACAUGUCACUAUAAACCGAUAUCAAUAAUUUUUCAUGCCCGUAGACCACAUUUUAACCCCCCUAACCUUAAAACAAUUAAUCAUUAUAUGGGGUUGCAGAACAAAUACACAGAAAAGAAGAAUUCGAGCCGUUGUUAAUGCAAGAUCAUAAUAACAAAAUAAAAUAUAGAAAAUCUCAAAAUUUA